rnacentral:rRNA from 1 species
AGAGUUUGAUCCUGGCUCAGAUUGAACGCUGGCGGCAUGCUUUACACAUGCAAGUCGAACGGCAGCAUAGAGAGCUUGCUCUCUGAUGGCGAGUGGCGAACGGGUGAGUAAUACAUCGGAACGUGUCCGUUUGUGGGGGACAACCACCCGAAAGGGUGGCUAAUACCGCAUAAGACCUGAGGGUGAAAGCCGGGGACCGCAAGGCCUGGCGCGAACGGAGCGGCCGAUGACUGAUUAGCUGGUUGGCGGGGUAAAGGCCCACCAAGGCGACGAUCAGUAGCUGGUCUGAGAGGACGACCAGCCACACUGGAACUGAGACACGGUCCAGACUCCUACGGGAGGCAGCAGUGGGGAAUUUUGGACAAUGGGGGCAACCCUGAUCCAGCCAUGCCGCGUGCGGGAAGAAGGCCUUCGGGUUGUAAACCGCUUUUGUCAGGGACGAAAAGGUGCGGGUUAAGAGCUAGCGCUGAUGACGGUACCUGAAGAAUAAGCACCGGCUAACUACGUGCCAGCAGCCGCGGUAAUACGUAGGGUGCGAGCGUUAAUCGGAAUUACUGGGCGUAAAGCGUGCGCAGGCGGUUGGGUAAGACAGAUGUGAAAUCCCCGGGCUUAACCUGGGAACUGCAUUUGUGACUGUCCGACUGGAGUAUGUCAGAGGGGGGUGGAAUUCCAAGUGUAGCAGUGAAAUGCGUAGAUAUUUGGAAGAACACCGAUGGCGAAGGCAGCCCCCUGGGGCAAAACUGACGCUCAUGCACGAAAGCGUGGGGAGCAAACAGGAUUAGAUACCCUGGUAGUCCACGCCCUAAACGAUGUCUACUGGUUGUUGGAGGGUAAAACCUUCAGUAACGAAGCUAACGCGUGAAGUAGACCGCCUGGGGAGUACGGUCGCAAGAUUAAAACUCAAAGGAAUU